rnacentral:rRNA from 1 species
GACGAACGCUGGCGGCGUGCCUAAUACAUGCAAGUAGAACGCUGAAGGCUGAGCUUGCUCUCCUGGAUGAGUUACGAACGGGUAAGUAACGGGUAGGUAACCUGCCUGGUAGCGGGGGAUAACUAUUACAAACGAUAGCUAAUACCGCAUCAGAGUAUAUGUUGCAUGACAUUUACGUAAAAGGUGCAAUUGCAUCACUACCAGAUGGACCUGCGUUGUAUUAGCUAGUUGGUGGGGUAACGGCUCACCAAGGCGACGAUACAUAGCCGAGCUGAGAGGGUGAUCGCGCACAGUGGACUGGGACACGGCCCAUACGCCUACGGGAGGCAGCAGUAUGGAAUCUGCGGCAAUGGACGGAAGUCUGACCGAGCAACGCCGCGUGAGUGAAGAAGGUGAUCGGAUCGUAAAGCUCGGUUGUAAGAGAAGAACGAGUGUCGCCGUGGAAAGUGCACACUGUGACGGUAUCUGACGAGAAAGGGACGGCUAACUACGUG